rnacentral:rRNA from 1 species
AGAGUUUGAUCCUGGCUCAGAAUCAACGCUGGCGGCGUGCCUAACACAUGCAAGUCGAACGCGAAAGCCCCGCAAGGGGUAAGUAGAGUGGCAAACGGGUGAGUAACACGUGGGUGACCUGCCUUCGAGUGGGGGAUAACGUCCCGAAAGGGACGCUAAUACCGCAUGACAUCCUGCUCUUGGACGAGCGGAGAUCAAAGCUGGGGAUCGCAAGACCUGGCGCUUGAAGAGGGGCCCGCGUCUGAUUAGCUAGUUGGUGAGGUAACGGCUCACCAAGGCGACGAUCAGUAUCCGGCCUGAGAGGGCGGACGGACACACUGGGACUGAGACACGGCCCAGACUCCUACGGGAGGCAGCAGUGGGGAAUUGUUCGCAAUGGGCGCAAGCCUGACGACGCAACGCCGCGUGGAGGAUGAAGAUCUUCGGGUCGUAAACUCCUGUCGAGCGGGAAGAACGUUUCGCGGAUGAAUAAGCCGCGGAAGUGACGGUACCGCUAAA